ACCUUCACUUGUAAGUAAAGCAUGAACAUAUUUGCUAGUUAAGAUUACAUGAUGGAGAAACCUUUGCAGUUAAGAUUACAUGAUGGAGAAACCUUUGCUCUCAACAGGUAUCAAUUAGUUAGGAAUGAUGUCUACAAAAACAAUUGGUUGGGUUUCACAACAAAAACAGGUAUACUAUUAGGUUGGCAAGUAACGUGAACUAAAAGUACUGUUAGGCCUAUUGAAAGCCUCCACGAGUCUUUGUAACUAAGAGGAAUGUGUUAGAAAUUUAGGCAUUAUUUGGUAUAUUUUAAUUCCGAAACUAAUUAUGUAAAAUGACAAUAUUUCUAUGACUAUGGUGAGUGAAUUGAAGCAUGUGCGAGUAUUCAUGUUUAACACAAUUUUAAGCAUGAACAGAAUGAAACAAAGAGGUUUCAGUGUUCAUGUUUAACACAAUUUUGUAACACCCAAAUUUUUAAAGAAUUUAAAUUCACAAAAAUUUUCUCAAAUUAGGAUGUCAUUUAAAUUUCUAGGCAUUUAAUUUCACUUUCUCUAAAUUUAAUCAAUUCGUCAUAGGAGUUAUUUGUGCAUUACAUGCUGGUGCAUUUAUUUUGAUUGCUUCUGUUUGAAUCAAAUUUGAAUUUCAAAUUCAAUUUCAAUUUUCAAAAUCUUUCCUUUUCUCCUUUUCUUUUCUUUCUCUUGGGCCGCAUCCUUCUCCUUCCCUUUCUUUCUUUUCUUUCGGCCCACUCCGCUUUUUCCUCCUCGCGGACCAGCGCCUCAACUCCACUGGCCCACGCCACCUUUCUCCCUCGC
rnacentral:lncRNA from 1 species